UACGAAGGGAGCUAGCGUUGUUCGGAAUCACUGGGCGUAAAGCGCACGUAGGCGGAUUUGCCAGUCAGGGGUGAAAUCCCGGGGCUCAACCUCGGAACUGCCUUUGAUACAGCAAGUCUUGAGUUCGAGAGAGGUGGGUGGAAUUCCUAGUGUAGAGGUGAAAUUCGUAGAUAUUAGGAAGAACACCGGUGGCGAAGGCGGCCCACUGGCUCGACACUGACGCUGAGGUGCGAAAGCGUGGGGAGCAACAGG
rnacentral:rRNA from 1 species